rnacentral:rRNA from 1 species
UACGAAGGGGGCUAGCGUUGCUCGGAAUCACUGGGCGUAAAGCGCACGUAGGCGGCUUUUUUAAGUCAGGGGUGAAAUCCUGGAGCUCAACUCCAGAACUGCCUUUUGAUACUGAGAAGCUUGAGUCCGGGAGAGGUGAGUGGAACUGCGAGUGUAGAGGUGAAAAUUCGUAGAUAUUCGCAAGAACACCAGUGGCGAAGGCGGCUCACUGGCCCGGUACUGACGCUGAGGUGCGGAAAGCGUGGGGAGCAAACA